GUAGUUCAGUGGUAGAGUGCUUGCCUUGCAUGCAUGAGGCUCUGGGUUCGAUUCCUCAGC
rnacentral:tRNA from 1 species